CUCAUCGCAUGGGGCGGCGUGCUUAACACAUGCAAGUCGAACGAUGAACCUCACUUGUGGAAGGGAUUAGUGGCGAACGGGUGAGUAACACGUGAGUAACCUGCCCUUGACUCUGGGAUAAGCCUGGGAAACUGGGUCUAAUACCGGAUAUGACGCCUCAUCGCAUGGUGGGGGGUGGAAAGUUUUUGUGGUUUUGGAUGGACUCGCGGCCUAUCAGCUUGUUGGUGAGGUAAUGGCUCACCAAGGCGACGACGGGUAGCCGGCCUGAGAGGGUGAGCGGCCACACUGGGACUGAGACACGGUUCAGACUCCUACGGGAGGCAGCAGUGGGGAAUAUUGCACAAUGGGCGAAAGCCUGAUGCAGCGACGCCGCGUGAGGGAUGACGGCCUUCGGGUUGUAAACCUCUUUCAGUAGGGAAGAAGCGAAAGUGACGGUACCUGCAGAAGAAGCGCCGGCUAACUACGUGCCAGCAGCCGCGGUAAUACGUAGGGCGCAAGCGUUAUCCGGAAUUAUUGGGCGUAAAGAGCUCGUAGGCGGUUUGUCGCGUCUGCCGUGAAAGUCCGGGGCUC
rnacentral:rRNA from 1 species